GGCACUACGGUGCUGAAGCAACAAAUGCCCUGCUUCCAGGAAAAGCCUCUAAGCAUCAGGUAACAUCAAAUCGUACCCCAAACCGACACAGGUGGUCAGGUAGAGAAUACCAAGGCGCUUGAGAGAACUCGGGUGAAGGAACUAGGCAAAAUGGUGCCGUAACUUCGGGAGAAGGCACGCUGAUAUGUAGGUGAAGUCCCUCGCGGAUGGAGCUGAAAUCAGUCGAAGAUACCAGCUGGCUGCAACUGUUUAUUAAAAACACAGCACUGUGCAAACACGAAAGUGGACGUAUACGGUGUGACGCCUGCCCGGUGCCGGAAGGUUAAUUGAUGGGGUCAGCGCAAGCGAAGCUCUUGAUCGAAGCCCCGGUAAACGGCGGCCGUAACUAUAACGGUCCUAAGGUAGCGAAAUUCCUUGUCGGGUAAGUUCCGACCUGCACGAAUGGCGUAAUGAUGGCCAGGCUGUCUCCACCCGAGACUCAGUGAAAUUGAACUCGCUGUGAAGAUGCAGUGUACCCGCGGCAAGACGGAAAGACCCCGUGAACCUUUACUAUAGCUUGACACUGAACAUUGAGCCUUGAUGUGUAGGAUAGGUGGGAGGCUUAGAAGUGUGGACGCCAGUCUGCAUGGAGCCGACCUUGAAAUACCACCCUUUAAUGUUUGAUGUUCUAACGUUGACCCGUGAUCCGGGUUGCGGACAGUGUCUGGUGGGUAGUUUGACUGGGGCGGUCUCCUCCUAAAGAGUAACGGAGGAGCACGAAGGUUGGCUAAUCCUGGUCGGACAUCAGGAGGUUAGUGCAAUGGCAUAAGCCAGCUUGACUGCGAGCGUGACGGCGCGAGCAGGUGCGAAAGCAGGUCAUAGUGAUCCGGUGGUUCUGAAUGGAAGGGCCAUCGCUCAACGGAUAAAAGGUACUCCGGGGAUAACAGGCUGAUACCGCCCAAGAGUUCAUAUCGACGGCGGUGUUUGGCACCUCGAUGUCGGCUCAUCACAUCCUGGGGCUGAAGUAGGUCCCAAGGGUAUGGCUGUUCGCCAUUUAAAGUGGUACGCGAGCUGGGUUUAGAACGUCGUGAGACAGUUCGGUCCCUAUCUGCCGUGGGCGCUGGAGAACUGAGGGGGGCUGCUCCUAGUACGAGAGGACCGGAGUGGACGCAUCACUGGUGUUCGGGUUGUCAUGCCAAUGGCACUGCCCGGUAGCUAAAUGCGGAAGAGAUAAGUGCUGAAAGCAUCUAAGCACGAAACUUGCC
rnacentral:rRNA from 1 species